GUGCCAGCCGCCGCGGUAAUACCGGCAGCACGAGUGAUGGCUGAUAUUAUUGGGCCUAAAGCGUCCGUAGCUGGCCGGACAAGUCCGUUGGGAAAUCCACGUGCCUAACAUGUGGGCGUCCAGCGGAAACUGUCCGGCUUGGGGCCGGAAGACCCGAGGGGUACGUCCGGGGUAGGAGUGAAAUCCUGUAAUCCUGGACGGACCGCCGGUGGCGAAAGCGCCUCGGGAGGACGGACCCGACAGUGAGGGACGAAAGCCAGGGUCUCGAACCGGAUUAGAAACCCGAGUAGUCC
rnacentral:rRNA from 1 species